rnacentral:rRNA from 1 species
UACGAAGGGUGCAAGCGUUACUCGGAAUCACUGGGCGUAAAGCGUGCGUAGGCGGUUUCUUAAGUCUGUCGUGAAAGCCCUGGGCUCAACCUGGGAACGGCGAUGGAUACUGGGAAGCUAGAAUGUGAGAGAGGAUGGUGGAAUUCCUGGUGUAGCGGUGAAAUGCGCAGAUAUCAGGAAGAAUACCGAUGGCGAAGGCAGCUCUCUGGGACGGUACUGACGCUGAGACGCGAAAGCGUGGGGAGCGAACAGG